AACGCUAGCGGCAGGCUUAACACAUGCAAGUAGAACGGUAACAGUCCUUCGGGAGCUGACGAGUUGCGAACGGGUGCGUAACGCGUAUGCAACCUACCUAUAACUGAGGGAUAGCCCAUAGAAAUGUGGAUUAAUACCUCAUAACAACUAAAGAUGGCAUCAUCUUAAGUUUAAAACUCCGGUGGUUAUAGAUGGGCAUGCGUGACAUUAGCUAGUUGGUGAGGUAACUGCUCACCAAGGCAACGAUGUCUAGGGGUUCUGAGAGGAUGAUCCCCCACACUGGUACUGAGACACGGACCAGACUCCUACGGGAGGCAGCAGUGAGGAAUAUUGCGCAAUGGAGGAAACUCUGACGCAGCCAUGCCGCGUGCAGGAUGACUGCCCUAUGGGUUGUAAACUGCUUUUAUAUAGGAAGAACUACAGAUACGUGUAUUUGUUUGACGGUACUAUACGAAUAA
rnacentral:rRNA from 1 species